UAGCUGGUAGUAGCUACAGUGGUUACAACUGCAGUAAUCAAAAAGAAGCGGACUUCUCAGCCCCUUAACCUCACGCCAGUUGUCAACUUUACUAGAGCCUAUAUUUCGAAACUAAGAUUCAGCACUAGCCAAGGACAAGGCAUUGGGAUGGAUUGGUUCCAUUGCAACAGCUGCUUCAGAAGAGAGGGACAGAACUUUGCUGUCUCCAGUUGUGGUCACAUAUGUUGCAAUGGCUGCAUUAACCCGAGUAUGACAGUUCCUCACUCACACCCAUUCUGCAGUGUACUUGACAUCCAGAGUAAAGACCAGUGUGAACUUCAUAUUCACCUAGCCCUGCAUCAAGUCACAGAAGGGUAGUACUUUUUAUUUAUUAAACACUUAACAAUUGUGUUGGUGUAAAAUUUAUAUUUUUAUACAUAAUCUGAGAAUGAUAUGGCACAUGCCAUUUUUAAACAAACAGAAAUUAGCAAAUAUUCACUGUUUUAUAGCUAUUGAUUUAAGCAAACAGAGGCAAUUACUGGCCUUUGGCCACUCAAUGUGGUCAGAUAGUUUUGAAACACUCAUCUUUAUUCAACUCAGUGGAUGUUAAGUAUAUUGCAGCAAUAAAUGUAGUCUGUAAAUUCAGCUGUUGUGGUUGUUUUGCUGAAACAUGUUUUCCUUCAGAACAAUGUACUGUAUGUGGAGCCAGCUGUAAUUACCUUGCCAUCUCAGACCAGGUUGGUUUGUUCUGUAUUAUUUCAAAUAGAAAAAGUCAUAUCUAUCAACAUGUAGCUUGUAAAUUACCUGUCUGUCAUGUCUGAAUACUUCUUCACUCUUACAAUACACUUUCUUCUUUUCAUGUUUUGGCAGAUGAAGCCCCAGGAGCAGGUGUUCUUCAAAGACCCAGUGAAGCUCAUUCAGACUCGUCUGGAGCACAUAGCACAGGUUGAACUUUGCUUGAGUUAUUGCAAUUUCAUUUUUGUUAAGUGUUGGACAGUCAUGCGGUUAAAACAGUGUAAAUUAGAAAGUAUAUUAUGUGCCUAACAGGACAGCAUCCAUUGUACAAUGUCAUCUGCCUGUCAGAUUGCUCUAUUCCAGAAAAAGCAAAAGGAAAGGGUCAUUGCCUACUUCACACACAAAUCUAUGGAGUUGGAGAGGAGACUGAAGGAUGUCACAGAGCAGUGUUACAGGCAAAAUACACAUAGUGUUGCUAUUUCUGCUAAUUUAAUUAAAUUACAAUGCCAUUAUAUAUUUUUUCAUUAAAUUAGUGCCAUCAUUUUUUUUCAUGUCAUUUAUGUAGGGAUGUUUCACAGCUAAAAAGAGAGAAUGCAGAAUUAAAGAAACCUCUCUCUCAGAGACGGGUAAGGUGUUCACUGUGCCGAGUACUAAAUGUCUUUGAGCAUUGUCACUGUUGUAUUUGAAGUACUGUGUUGCUGCAUACAACUCAUUUUAGACUUUCACCUUUUUUCACAGGUGUCACCUGGACAAUUUCAUACAAAUGGGUAAAAGAUUGUACCAUUUUUCAAAUCUGAAAAAUGCUUUUCAAUAUGCUGUUCUUACACUCAAAGCGUUGACUUGGGCCUAGACUCAAACAGAAAGCAGAUUGUCAGCAUUGCAGAACUUAAAGCCAUUGUUCUGAUAUAUAUUUUUUUGGCAUAUGCAUGUCAGCUCAGAUUGAAAUCGUUUUAAAUCUGCGAUUGCUAUAACCCACAUUCGGAUGAAAUUCACACCUAAAAACAGAGAUCUUUUUCCCCAGCAAUGCUCAAAGGAUGUCUUUACCCGUGGCUGUCACCUCCCCAGGUAAUGAAAAACACUUAUGAAUGUGGUCAGAGCAGGGCUGGCUCUAGGCAUAAACGGUCGCUUAUGACACCUGACUGCCAAGUGAACUCUGACUGCUAGGGAGCCAAAUGUUGCUUACCGUCCCCAAAAGGCUAGGGCCGGCACUGGGUCUGAGACAUUUCAGAGAUACUACUGAAAUGAAAACCUAUAUGGGGAGAAAUUCCAUUACACGUUUACCCACAGAUGGUGUGCUACUUAUCUUCCUUUAUUUUAACAGUCACUCCUCGCUCACGUCCUGUUAGGUAGGUGCUAUAUAAAUAUUGCACAGACAGGCAAUGAUGCAUACAAUUAAUCCAACUGUAAUUUUUUUAAAAUAGUAUUUUACACAGUGUCAAAGGAUUGUAUCAUUUUAUUAAAUUGAAAUAUCGCCUUCAUCCACUAAUAACGGUUUCAGCUACCCAGGCUCUGCUGAAUCCCAUGGGAGGUUAAGAGACAGAAACCCCAUGCUUACCCUUACAACGCCUCCGGGUUCGGCUACAUCAAUCUCCACCCUGAGCUCUCUGCAUGACCGUGGUGGCUUCAGUGAGUGGCAAAACCCCCUCAGAAUUAUCUUUCAUGGUUGUUCAUUUGAACAACAGCACUUUGUACAAGCUUUGAAUAAUAACGGAGAUGUCUUAAAUCCUCUAAUAGGGACACCCAACAUUGUUA